CGGCAGGUGGCGCCGCGCCGCUGCUGUGCGGCCCCACGCGGGGCGGCAACGGCCGUGGGCGAGCGGGCGGCCCUGGAGGGGCUGCCUCGGCCUCCCGCAGUCAGAGAGCGGGCGAAACUCAUCCUCACUCCGGCAGGCGCGACGGCAACAACCCACGGCGAGCUCGCCUCGCCGGAAACCCCGGCGGCGCCCCCGGGCUCGGGCGCCAUGUUGGGAGCGCGGAGCAAGGGGCAGGAACGGGCGCGGCUGCCCUGUGACCGGCGGGGCCUGCGGAGCGGGCGGGAGCAUCUUUAGCCUGUCGGGGCACCGCGUCUGGUACCAGCAGCGCUUACUACGGAAGGUUUUCUAAAAGAUGCAGAACUCUUGUUAGUAGGAAAGAGAAAAAGGGGAGUUGAUUCAGGAGCUCUGCAGUACUGGAGUAUUUAUAAACCAGAUUUUUAAAUAACUAAUCACUUUCUUUUAUAAGGAGCCAUUAAUUUGUAUCAGUUUGUUCUUGCAGGAGUGAAACUUUUCCUUGCUAUCAUACAGUCCCUGGUGUAUUUUUACAAGUACUGCUUCUGAUGCGAUGCCAGGAAAAAUAAGCUAUUAAUGAAGGAAAUUCUGUUCUAGACUUCAACUUUGAAGGACAUCAUGACCAGGGACACUGUACAGAAGUAGAAAAGCAGCGAAGGUGUGGGGAGGCUCUGGCAGCGGUGCAGUUACGUGCAUUUCUGUGAACCUGGUACUGUGGUAUGGUGUUUAUUUUUGAUAUUUACCAGUUCAAUUUCUUCAGGGGUAGGAUUUGGGAAAUAUAAUUUAAUCCAUAUUUUUCAGAAUGUGAAAAGUAUCCAAAGCAUCAUGAUACAAAUAUUUUAAUAUGCUGCAGUUUCAUGACACUACAGUGAUUUAGCUGCCUUUUUUUUUUUUUUUUUGUCCAGAGAGGAUAGUAAUACUGUAUCAUGUACCACGUCACAGCAUAAAGAGGAUUACACAUACAGAUUACAGCUGUUAGUGUACCACAGAAAUAUCUAACACAAGCAGUUUAUAUGAAUAUCAGUGUCACAGUUUAACUCCAGCUAGCAAUCAAAAUCACAGUAGCCACUUACUCCCCUUCACCGACCCCAAAACAGGGCAGAAAAUUGAAGGAACUCAUGGGUUGAUAUAAAAACAGUUUAACAAAGUAAUAAUACUAAUAUACUACUACUACUAUAUAUAAAAUGGAAAAUAGAAUAUAAAAUAAAAGAUGCUCUAUGCAAUUCUUCAUGAACUCUCUCUGCACCGAGCAGCCAUUCCUGGGAAGAGAGGACCCAGGUCCUGAACAGCUGAUCCUGGGGAGAAAGAGAAAAAAAGACCAAAAGUGUGGAAAGGCCUGGAGGCCACUGCGAAACAGCAGAACAGUGAAAGGCUUAACUAAAGGAACUCCAGAAAGGGACUCAGCUGGAACAGAGUAUUACCAGAACGGGUCUACCGAGCUGGAAAACCUGCCUCUUGUUAAAUACAAAACAUGAUGCUAAUGGCAUGGAAUAUUCACACUGAUCAGCCUGGAUGUCAGUCCAGGUCUGUCACCUCUGUGUCCCCCUUUCUAGCUGCUUCACACCUACAUAUAGAAGGACCAGAAAGACCUUGGCUCCCAGACAAAGGCUAAGAUAUCAACUUCUGAAUUUGACUUAGCACAAUGCAAACACAUGGUGGAAAUAUCUGUAUUCAGAAGUGUGGACACUACUGUGUGAAAUAGGAGCUUAGACACUAACAUUAGACUGCAAGCUGUUAACGUCAGCAUUUUCUUCUCUGUGUUUCCUGCCAUCUGGAUCUUGGUAACUUCCCAUCUUCAUUCAAGCUGUAUUGUAUGCCAUAUCUCCUUUUCCCAUGUCAGUGCCACUAAUUGCUCUUUCUCCCUCAGUUCUGUCUGAUAGAAUUAUUAAUUCACUAAAUUAUAUUUUUAUAUGGUUUCUGAAAUAUAUACCUUGUACUAGCUUUCAUUACUAUAUUCAGUGUGUAGUGUUUUCUCCUUACAGAUGAUAGGCAGAAAGAGAGUCAAAGGAAGUUAAUUGCAAGCAGCUAGAGCUGAGGAAUGGUUUACCAAAAUGGCUGACAGAUAACUUGCACUGUACUCUGUUUUAUUUCAUAGUUACCAAAGCUCUUCCAUACCAUCCACAUCUUCCAAAUGUUGGUCUUGGUACUGGGAGCAGGGGUCAGGUAACAGACGUGGUGCCCAGCACUGACACCAUUCCAAAGGUUAUACUUUACACUCCACGGAUUACUGCUAUCAGUAAAUGACAAAUGGACAGAAGUUACAAAAAGUCAAGAAAGCUGCAGUGUGCUCUCCUAAGAGCUUAACAAUUUGUUCCUAGUUUCCCCAUGGGUGUUUAGCCUCCAGUUAUUCUCUUAACCAAAUAUCCCAACUAGGUCUGUGUCUGCUCAUGAGAACAUAGCAAAUUUUUCCACAGACAUCCUUCAAGGGUAAGUCAUUUUCUGAGCAUUUUAGUGAGAAAAAAAAAAAUAAACAGAACAGCCUUCCUGGAAAAUGGAAAACCACUGUACAAGAAUACUGUUUAAAUAAAAUAGCACAGUAAAUCAUGCUUUUCUUAUAUUUUUAUGGUGUGCUACAUGGUAUCCUAAUCUUAGAUUCAGUUCUGCCUUUGAAAGAAAGCACAGCAGUAGCAGUUCUUGCACGUGUUUUCCUACAGAUUUGUUCUAAGAAAUUCUCAGUUCCCAAAGCAUUAAAAAGUCUUUUCUUACAUCUGUACUCCCUUCAUCAUGCAAAUACCCUCCUACUGGCAUAGUUACAGCUAAUUCCCUCUGAAUAAUACUGCUGUACUCAGGAAUAGUGGCAUGACGCUCAAGCUAAUAGGCUAUCCGUAUUCUCGGCUUCAGAAAAACAUGACAAAUGCUAGUUUUUUACAGCUGUUGCUGUUGACGUGAUUUCUGAAAAAUUAACAUCGUAUCUUAAUAUUGUGAGGGGUUUUACUGGGACUUGUUUCAGGAAUUCAUAUUUGGUUUCUUAAGUUGUGCCUACAUUAUAAGUAGACACGAAAGAGAGAACUGAAAAAAAAAAACCAUUGUCUACAAGUUGCUUCUGGAAAGGAGUAUCUUGUUGUCCAUGUUCUUAUCCAUGAAUAAUGAUGUCCUUGUGACUCAGUACUGUCUUCACUGAUUUCACUGCAGGUAAUUAUUAUAAAAUUUGAAGGAGCAUGUGCAAAGCAGGUAUGUUUCCCAGAAACAUGACAUAAGUUUUUUAAAUCUAAAAUAAAUGCAGACUCUACCUUGUCCCUAAUCUACUGUAAAUAUCAAUUAUAUAAAGAUUCAUAGAUCAUGUUUCUAAUAAAUUAAAAUUUAUUUGGGAAAGGUUUAGUUUAAUCAAGGAAAAGAGCUGGGUAAUAUGAUAAUUUACAAGAUUGUUAGCUUUCUGAAAAAUUUUUAGAGCAAUUUUAAGUAACUCCACUCUUUUUCCCAGGUUGGCCUUCCAAAAUAGUUUCAAAAGGAUUAUUUCCCUGUGGUUUUUGUGAAGAUUAUGCAAAUCUAAAAAUAUGUAGCCAAAAAGUAUCUGUAAAACCCAUGGAGUACUGUUAUAAUUUUAGCUAUAUGACAGAAAGAGGUCUGCAUAAGUGAGCAUGUGCUAUUUAGACUUCCAGAAGAUACGGAGGAAAGGUUAAUAAUAACACUUGAAAUUUAGACUUUUAGACUACUUCCACACUGAGUUACAGGAAGAUCAAUUGGUGCCCCAAGGUGGGAGAAUUCUUUGUUUUUAUUUGUAUGUGCCUAUCACACCAGUCUGUCAUCAGCUUACUUCAAAAAUCUAUAGGAAUUAAACCUGGAGAGCGAAUUGUUUGUCUCUCAAAUGUUAUUUCUUUUGUUACACCAUCUAGUCAGACUACUCAGCUUGCAGAUAGCUUGUGAAAUAUAUUUUUCAACUGUUUGUGAUAGGUAGCCAAAUUGAAUGUGUUGAAAUGGAAAAAAGUUUAUUUUUUUAUGUCAGUAAACAAACUGACUUUAUAACCUUGCUAUUUUCAAAAGUCUAUAUGGACUUUGGAGCAAAGCUAAGGUAUACUUUUGCUGUAAUAUGUUACAGACGUGCCCUGACUAGCUUUGUAUGAGCCAGCUUGGAUAUCUGAAACCAGGCAGCUAAAGCCAAGCUUCAUAUGGUUAACUUUCCCUUAACUGCUUAAAGUGGUACACUAACGUAUUCUCUUAAGUUAAAGGAGAUUUAUCUUCAACUACAUUUUUUCUCCUUAAGCCAUUUGCUACGGGAGUACUUUUAUUUUCUUUUGAAGUAACUGAUGCUAAUGUCAGAGCAUUGCAACUCCAAUAAAAAAGAGACAUUGCAAAUUUUAACACAUAUAAAGGAUAUAUGACUUUGUUAUAAUGCAACCUGAGAUAUGGAAAAUAGUUUUUUAGUCCAUAGCGAAGAUGAACAGGAAUUGUUCACCGAGGUCAAAUGCUAUGUUAGAACUCUGACAAAACAGUGUUUCAUAUAGUUACUUUAUGCCUUACUUCUUACUUUUCUCUGUAAUUAUAAAUAAAGUACUGUACUGGUUUAAAAUAAUCCUUCAGAAAAGAAACAUAAUUAUUCCAUCUAGUAUAUUGCAAGCACUUUAGAAAAAGUGAUGCAAAUUGUAAUGUAUCUCAAAAACACUAUGUAAAUUACACAUAAGCACAUAGACAUGCAAAUGGCAGCUCAUAUCCCAAACAAGCUUAUUCAGCACCCCAGCUGUCAGUGUGACAUUUAAAAAAAUUAUGCUCUCUAGUUGAACUGUUCUCUCCUACCCCUAUGCUUCACAGCGGGACUUCUCUCUAGAAUUUUGCUCUUGUCAUCUGGCUUCGCUUAUAUAAGAAGUAAAUAAAUCUUCAAUUGCACCCUCGAAGGUGAUUUGUAGAAACAGAACUGACCUUCCAAAGCAAUGGGAGGGUCAGAUCCCUCCAUUAGUAUUAUCCCAUCCAAAAGCAGUACAAAACAGGACGAAAGAUAAAGGUACACAAAAUUAUGUGUUUCGCCACCUGGCCCAGUAAUCACGCUAGGCACUGGUGCUGACUUGUUAAGGUCUGUUCAUGGAGGAUCUCCAUAUGUAAAGGAGACUUACAGCUUUCUGCUUUACCUGGAUAACACAGCAGAAUUCCUGUACAUUUCAAUGUGAGGCAGUUAACAGAGAAUUCCUGGAUGCAUUUCUCAUUUUUGCUGAGUGGUCAGAUGUUCACUUGAUGUUGUUUCCUGUAGUCUACAUUUUGAGUAAUAAAGGAAAAAAAAAGAGGAAAAAAAUAAAGAAAAGUCUGUUUUUGGCAGGGGAACAGGAAGACAACAGAAACAUUACUGAAUUUGCACUGCUGACAGCAGAAUCUGACAGCAAUACUCACAUUCACACCCAAGUGACUGUAGCAUUUCUUUUCACCUUUGGCUUUCCUCAAUUGUUGCAAGGGAUCUCUCCUGGAAUUUCCAUUAUCCACUUAUCCUCUGUACUUUGAUUGUCUGUCAGCUGCUGCUGCCUCCAUAGUACAUUUAAGAGAGAAGUUUGCCAUUUGAACUAGUAGCUAUGGUUGCAGGCAAUCCGCUUUGUUCUUGGUCUAAAGGAGCCACAAAUUAAGACAGCUUUGCAGCAUCUGGAUAAGCAUUGCCAUGCCCUUACAUGGAACAUCCAUCUUUAUUGUGACCACAUUUACUGGUUGCUGAACACAUUGCAAAUUUCCAUAGAUUAGGUGAAUCAAGAGAAGACAGGUUAUACUUUUUAGUUUGGGAAAAUCUUUUACCUUCCUCAUCUGCUUGAGGAUUACUGUCUUAUGCUUUGCACCCAUCUGUUUUCCCUACCAUACAGACCCUCUAUUUUUACACAAAUUAAUACCUUGAAAGAAUUCAGCUAAUGGGUGUUUUGCUAUAAUAAAUACUGAGUCUGAGUGUUUUUAACCUUUAAGAUCUGUUUAAAUGCAAGAUGGGAUAUGCAUCACUGAGAAUAACAAACUCAAAUAGCAGUAAAAUGUCAUAUAGUAUUCCCAUGAUGGUUUUAAAAUUAGUGCCAGUGAAAAAGGCAUUAGGUACAUGAUUUGAUCUUUCAUUGAAAGAAGCAUGGAGCAUGGACAGUCUAUUAACUGUGUGUUACACCAUACAGUUUAGUGAGCAAAUAGUUUUGUUCUUCAAAUCAUUACAGGAUGUGAAAGAUUUUAUAGAGCUGAAAAUGAAAAAAAAAAGAAUAAAGAGUAUGUACAGGUACAGUCUUUGGUUUAUAUUGCACCCAAGAUUCUAAAGAGAAUAAAGCAUGGUUUAAGUGACAGGGAACAGAAAAUGGGGAGCAAACGUUCUAAGAAUGCUUUGGUACCCAGGUGAUGUGGACCAUGAAUUUCAGAAGUGUUUCUUUUCUCCUGAUACUAACCCUUGAAUUUACGGCCCCUAUGCCUCUUGCUGGGAGGAAGUGACUAGAAGAUGGAUACUUUUAAAAUUUUCUGCUUCUUCCUCUUUAGUACUUGCUGAUGUAUUUCCAUUGUUAAUUUCUGUAAAUGUCCUGUCCUCAUCUUAAAACUAAUGAUACGCUAUACAUAAACAAGAAUUAUACAUAUAAGUUGAAACUUCAGACUUGGCUGAUAUGGGAGACAGAAAACUUAGUAUUUGGAUGGAUUCAGACUUAGAAGUCUGUGCAACACUUAUUAAGGAAUUUGACUCCCAACAGACAUACAUUAAUGAAUUAAACCGUACACAGUGAACUAUCUGACUUGACAAGCCCAAUUUCAUAUUUGGUCUUUUAUGUUGGUCUGUGUUGGUCUGGUCAUUCGUGUCUUGGAUACCAAGUCUGCAUUUCUGUAACCUGGUUUUCGUAAGGUCCUCUUCCUGUGAGCAAUAGCUAUGAAACCCUUCAGGGCAUUUUGACAAAGAAUGUAAGGUACCUCAAGCAAUUUCAGAUAAAAUAGUCUACUACUUAAUAUUAAUGUGUUUACACUGUACUAGAUUUAGAAAACUCGUAGGUCUACUCUGAAAUUUACUUGAAUAAAUAGUUGAUAAAAUAAGUAAUCUCUUACGUGAACAAACUAGAAUACCAAGUGAGGAAACAGAAGCUUUAUGUCACUAGGUUUUACCCAUAUUAGUCUGGGUUUUAUACUCAAGAUUAUUAAGAAUUAUUAAUGGAGUCAUCAUUGUAUUUCAUGCUGGUAACAAGCUUAAUCUGGAAAGACUUGGGAAAACACACUCAUCAUUUCCAUACCUACCUUUUUAUACUUAAUUUGAAUUUCAGCCAUUAGUUAAGUCUUAGACAAUAUAAAACCUGAAAUUACAUCAACCAAUCAUAUGGAACAAUAUGUAUCAAAAUAUGCCAUUAGGAUAAUUCAUUAGAUUUUACAGGAUAGCAAAACUCACCAAGGGGGGUGUGUGUGUGUGUUUAUGUACGCAUUCUGCUGAAGCGGGAAAAACAACUGCUUGCUAAGUGUUUCUUCCUUUGUACCAGCCUACCCACUGAGCUGGUAAUUAUUCUUGCUUUUUAUCUAAUCAUUAUAAGACAGAAAACAAUUUUUUUUUCCCCUGCUUUCCUCUUUCACAAAUCACACAUAAGAAGGUCUCUGUAUUCUGAAUCCAUUUUUCAUUUUCCUGUAUCCUUCACAAUUAAUUUUACAUGUUUUAAAUGAUAUAUACUGUAAUUAAUGCUCUUCAAAAAAUAACAGUGUCUUUAUGAGACCGUUGUACUGAUCUCCUAUGCCAUUCUCAUAAACACAGGUCUGAGCAAAAAUCCAUGGAAGGUAUAGAAACAUCAUAUGUUUUCAGAGUGUGUCAGAGUAUUCAGGAAGGCGUUAAAGAAGAAAUAGUUAGUCCCAGACUUCCCUCAAAUGAAGCAACCUGAUUAUACAAAUAACACUGAAAAGAAAUAAUGACAAGUCAUUUUAAAUUCAUAACUGUGAGUCAUUUAAUAAAAUAUGAUUUUAUAAUCACAAAUCUUGAAUUUCAAGAGACCCUAAAUCCCAUUGAGAGACAAAAAUCCCAUUGGAUUUAUUUUUUAAAAUUAUAUUUCUGGUGUUGUUUGGUAUGAACAUUUUUUAUUCAUAAAUCAUCUUGAGUAUAUAAACUGUGUAACUUUAUAGUGGACUAUGUAUACCUGAAUGAAAUGAAUAUAUUACAAAUUCUUCAAAACAAAGGCAGUUUCUUUGCUCUGUAACUAGAUAGAUCUUGGUAUUACCAGGAUCUGCAAGACCAUUACACAUAUUAACAACAGUAGCAGCACUAUUAAUAUUGUAUUCCAUGAGGUAAAUUGUACUUCUUUAAAAUUUUAUAUGUAAUAUUUUAUAAAGUAUCAUAUUCUACAUAUAUAAAACUUAGUAGACAAAGGCUUUAGUAGUAGUUGUUGUAGUUAUAUAUAGCCCUCUAAGUAUAUUAGAAUUAUAAGGCAAAAUAUUAUUUUUACAUUUAAAUGAAAAAAUAUAUGUAUACCAGAAGACAACACAGGUAUAUUCUGGCAAUUAAAAAAAAAAAACAAAAAACAAAAAACAAAAAACAAAAAACAAACAACAACAACAACAAAAAACAAAAAACCAACACAACAACAAAAAGCCCCCCAAAAAACUCAGAAGAAAAUUUAUGCUGAACAUAGUUCAUAAUAUUAUGAAUUUGAGUGAUCCUUUUCUGAAACUAUUGAUUCAAAAUGAUGUCUUAGAUGUUCCUGCUUGUAGAGUGUAUUAAUUUUGGUUUCCCUUUGUGGUAAAACCAGAAUGAGAUAAAAGAUGUGUGGAGUACUGAGAGUCUGAAAACAAUACAGAUAAGUGAAAUGAGAGAAAGAGAAAUGUUGAGGAAAAAAAGGAAAGAGGAGGGGAAGAAAAGGAUGAGUGAAAAAAAGGCAAAGAGAAAGAAAGUUAGAAUGACAUGUACAAUAAAGGAAGAGAGCAAAGCCAACCUUCCAGUAUUCAGGAUAAAGUUUUCUGUCUGAAGUUACUUCCAGACUAUUUUAGGCAGUAAUGCGUUAUUCCUAUUAUUUGACUAUUUUCUUAGCAGCUAUUGAAAUCUUGCAGAUUGUUACUUCUAGGAUUUUAAAAUGUCUCUCAGCUUUGUCCCAGAGGUUUGUGUCUUACUAGUAACCAGUCAUUAUUCCUCCCACAGAAGAUUAGUAUUUUUGUUGCAUAGAAAUCUUACAGUCAUCAAAUUUGAUUUAUCCUAUUUACAUUGUUUGUGUAUGGAACAUAUUGAAAAAGCAUUUUCAAAGUCUGUUAGUAACACUGACACAAUAAUAUCCUCUUCCCAUCAAAUCAUGGUUGAAUUUGUAUUACUAAUAUUCAAAAUGUUCUUGGUACAUCUAGAUUAAAGGUAAAUAAAUUAAUAUCAUAAUGACAGUCAUCAAUUUUAAAGUAGAAUUAUGAACAUUUUGUGAUAUAAAACAUCUAAGAUAUAUACCACGCCUGAACAACAGAAUUAAAAGCCAAAUGAAUGACUCAUGUAGAAAUGCUGAGAAAGAACAAAGCAAUGAAUAUCCAGAAAGGAAUCCAGGGAAACCGCAUGGCUUGAAACAAAAGAAAGACAAACUGGGUAAUGGAAAUCAAGCUGUGCAGAAUAAGCAAAUACAAACAGCAUACAAUAAUGUACAGAAAUGCCUGAAAUAUGAUAUGAAAUACAAGAAAAGGACUAAUGAGGUAGACAAAUAAAUUGACUUCUGAAGUGCCCAAUAAUAGUAAUGAAAGGGAAGAAGGAAAUGGAAGAAGAAUAUGCUUAAAGCAAAUACAUUGCACAAAGUUCAUCAUUCUACUGUUUUUGCUUUGACACUUCUUUAAACAAAUGGGGUUUUGUCUAGGCAUCUAAUCUUAGGCAUAUGGCUGUGAAAGCAAAAUCUUUUCACCCUGAUACCCUUCUGUGAAAGGAAUACAAAGGGAAUCUUGAACUCUCAUUUCUGAGAGCUCCCACUUUGCAGAAGUCUCAUAUUUUCAUAUAGGCAUCUCUCAAACUGCUUUUUAUUGACAGUGUCACGGCAUCUGUUUGGCAAGACAUAAGGAUAAGGAGGAGAAUGUAGAAUAGUAAAAGGAGGCAGAUUACAGGGCUGUUGGAAGAAGCAGAAUGCCACUAGUCUGUUUUCAACAGCAUUUUUAUUUCUAAACUGACUCUUAGUGAAAUGCUGUCAAGUAUGUUUCUUCCCAGCCCAGAUUGCAGAAAAAGCUGCAGACUCCAGAAAAAUCAGCAGGCUCCAGCUGAAUGAUGCCUGUACAAGGCGUAAGGAGGUGACCAAAUAGACCCUGAAAGUUUACAAGUUGUUGGCAUGAAAAUGAUGAACUGAUUAAUUACAAAAGCUUCAGCACCUUUAAGAGAUCAAGAAGAUGUAUGGCAAGAAUUUAAGUGAAAAAGUAAGAAUUUCAAUCUGUGGUAGAUGAUUUACUGAAUCCAGUGAAAACUUUACACUUUAGUCCCCAUUUCUAUGGCCCAAAUAGAAGAUUUUGUCCAGACUUUAAAAAACAAACAAACAAAAAAACUAACUAUUUUUUCUUUAAAAAAAAAAAAAUUCCAUGAAUAUAUGGUUUUAAAAUGUUAGAAACUGGCAGCAGUAUAGACGUGCUGAACCUUUGUUUAUUAACUUAAUGAUGUAGAGUGAUGAAAAUGCCAGCACCUUGUGGUUUAUCUCUUCUAAAAGACAUACCUAGCAUGAACAACUAGCUUGAAAAUGAAGAUGUGAGUGCUGGUAAAACAGAUGUUAAAAUCAUGAAGUUGAGGGAAGAAAGAGGAAGCCUUUGUUUUAUUGCAGUUUUGCUACUUUGAAGGUUACUCUGAAGGAAAAGCAGCUGUUCGGGCAUGGUCUGAAGACAAAAGCCUGUGUGUAAGGAAGGGUAACAGCAUUUUGACAACUGGAGAGUAUAGAUUUCCCACCAGAGACAUCUGUGAAUGGAAGAAGUGGAUCUACCUACAGAAGUCAUCAGCUUUCAGGUAGAACAAAAGGACUUUGCUUUUCUUAACCUGUAACUGUGUCUUAGCAUCACCUUUUACCUAGCCAUCUCCUCGGUAUUUGAAACAAAUUUUGUGAUCCAGUCUGGUCCCUGUCAAUAACAGAGAAAAGAAUUCAACCUUGCUUUCUUUUUAAAAGUGUAACCAUACAGAGGCCACAGUGAGAAUGGUUUGUUUCAACUGUAGGACUAAUCUGCAAGUAAUUUGUAAUCUUGUAACUGCACAUGCAGAUAUCAUUAUAUCAAUCCAUUAUCACAGACGAGUACUAGAUGUCCGGCUAUCAUAGUUGUACCAAACCAAACUUUCAUUAAAAUGAAGACCCAGAAAAGCAGUAGGAGCUUGUGUUGCCACUGGGAAGGCAAUGAAAACAGAAAAUGCUGGAAUGGAAAAGCUGUUCAUUAUUGAAAGCAUUAGUAGAACUAACUUCAUGUUUAGAUUUCUGUCACUUCAUUUUAAUUCUCGUUGUUUGCUAUUGCUGGUGAUUAAAUUUAUUUAUAAUUCUUGUAAAAAACUUUGAGGAUGCUUUCAUUAAA